UAAUCAAAUAUUUUCAUAUUGAUGGUUUCUCUCUCUGGCGGACCGGGUCGUACGCUUCUAAGCACUUGACCUUGAUAGUGGCGCCGGUGAUAAGCCCGGUUCUCGGUUUCAUCUCGGCUGCGACGCAAAACGAGCUGUCGUUAUGAGCAGUUUGGCCAUAGCUCGAUCAGUACUCAAGUCAACGUUCUCCAGUAAAGAGCAGCACCAGUAAAACAAACUAAAAACCAAAAAUGGCCAAGAUUGCUUUGAUCUUCUUCCUGUUCG
rnacentral:sRNA from 15 species